GAUCCUGGCUCAGGACGAACGCUGGCGGCGUGCCUAACACAUGCAAGUCGAACGGAACUGUUUUGAAAGAUUUCUUCGGAAUGAAUUUGAUUUAGUUUAGUGGCGGACGGGUGAGUAACGCGUGAGUAACCUGCCUUCAAGAGGGGGAUAACAUUCUGAAAAGGAUGCUAAUACCGCAUGACAUAUCGGAACCACAUGGUUUUGAUAUCAAAGAUUUUAUCGCUUGAAGAUGGACUCGCGUCCGAUUAG
rnacentral:rRNA from 1 species